UACGUAGGGUGCAGGCGUUAAUCGGAAUUACUGGGCGUAAAGCGUGCGCAGGCGGCUCCUUAAGUCAGAUGUGAAAGCCCCGGGCUUAACCUGGGAACUGCGUUUGAAACUGGGGAGCUAGAGUGUAGAAGAGGGGGGUGGAAUUCCAGGUGUAGCAGUGAAAUGCGUAGAGAUCAGGAGGAACACCGAUGGCGAAGGCAGCCCCCUGGGCUAACACUGACGCUCAUGCACGAAAGCGUGGGGAGCAAACAGG
rnacentral:rRNA from 1 species